UGUCCAUUUCGCACGUUUUACAACAGACGGCGAUAGUAUGUCGCUCCAUGAUCCAUGAUGUUAGGUUGUGUGUCAGAUGUCAGAUUGACGUUUUUUGAUUUUGAAUUUUGAAUUUUGAUGUGAUGAUGUGAUUUGAUGUGAUGUGAUGGAAAAAGAAAUUUAUAAAAAUCAGGAUGACAAGCAGCAGAAAGUGUAUUAAUGUGAUAUGUGAUGUUUAUAAAAAUCAGGAAGGAAACAAUGACUUGUGAAUAUGAAGCGAUAGUGCUUUCACCAGUACUGUGCAGUUAUCCAGAUUACAAACCACAAGAC